CGUCACCUCCGUGGUCUUUCAACAUGAGACCGAAACGUGCUGCUUUCUUUCUUUUCGAGCUCGUCUAAGUGUCGGUGUUCGGCUCUCUGUGGUGGGAAACACGUGUCUGUGAACUGCCACAAUGAGCUCAAGCAAUUGUACAGCAGAAACACCAAAGGCUCCGCGCCUCUGCUCAGCUGCCCUGAAGAGAACAUCGGCUCUACAUAGUUUGCAGCUUGUCCUGGAAGGUGAUGGAGCCAUGUGCAGGUGACGAUGAUGUGGAACAUUCAUCUACUUAGUCCAGAGGUGGUUUGCCCAACUACUGUGAAAAUGAGCAUGCAUGCAGUGGCUGGCCAGACUGUGAAAAUAUGCAUACAUUCAUAUGUAUCUUCAUUGAUGGCCUGGAGAUGAAAGUAAUAUUGGAACAGGUUUACUUCGUGCUGGAUACCAUUUCUCAUGCAUGCACUGGGGCUAGAGACAGUUUUGUCCAUCUAUUACAGAAGAACAGUCAAGUUGGAUUCCCAAGGAGUGACUAAAGCUAUCUUGUUAAAUUAACUGGUUGACUUUACUAGUAGUUUAGUUCAUAUGCUGGUGAAGAAAGCAUUUGCUUAAAUUGGGUGGGUGGGUAUGUGUGUAUAUAUGUAAUUAUACUGUAUAGUAUAUGAAGGGAAUAAUGACCAUUAAAGUUGGUUUAACAGUCUGAA